AUUUUUUUCUCCAGAGCGCUCCAUUCGUCCAGAAUCUCCGAAGGACUCGCCGCCGCCGCCGCUGCUGAAUCGAUGUAUUCUCCUCCCGUGGUGCAACUUGGCGGUGAGUUUGUAUUUGAUCCUGCAUGUUGGCCGCGAGUUGAGAUCAACAAUGACCAUGAUAUUAUCCAAGUUGUUCAAUGCAGAAAGUUCUGUUGUUCGAGUACCUUAUCUUGACUGAAAAUACAAUAAUGCAGUUCUUGCAAGUUGUUCAAAGCAGGUGUGAUAUGCUCUGUUGAAUUUAUUUAGAUGAAAUAUGUUCAUAAUUAAAAGCAUUCAUGCCUGGAUCAACCCCCUAUGGCCUCAAAAAUUUCUUACGUUUUUUUUAGCAAACAAAGAGUUGCUCACUGUGAUUCUAAUAAUGGCAUAUCCUACAUCAGAUGUGUGCUGAGAUCUUCAUUCUGUGCACCCACACCCCACCCCCAACCCUCUUCCACCGUGGGAUGCAUUUUAGGUUUUCUAGUCAACACUCAUUCUUAGGUCUCCUUUAUAAUACCUCUUUCAUAAUUGUUUUAUCAUUUUUAUUUUUUGCUUUUGUAGGAUCAUUGCCUGGUGGACUUAUUACACAGAUGGAAGGAGGAUACGUUUCCUGUGGAUAUCUUUUGUGUCAUAAGGUUGAGAGAGUUUCUCAAAGAGAUACCUUACAAAGCUUUGUGCAGAAAUUGGAAAUCCUUAAAAGUAAUGUUUGGCACAGGCAAUAAAAUCGUACUGUUAACCUCGAAUGCUACCUUAUGAAUCAAACAAGAUCAUUGUGUUCUGAAGGAGCUCGCCUUCCUUACACCAGAUAUCUGGACUGCCAAAGUGGCCCCUUUCAUAAGGGAUGACCGCUGCAUCAUUUCUUGCUUCUCUUUGCACCCUCAGUUUCAAUGCUGCAGCUCCUCGUA